UGGAGGUAUCAGAAGUGCGAAUGCUGACAUAAGUAACGAUAAAGCGGGUGAAAAGCCCGCUCGCCGGAAGACCAAGGGUUCCUGUCCAACGUUAAUCGGGGCAGGGUGAGUCGACCCCUAAGGCGAGGCCGAAAGGCGUAGUCGAUGGGAAACAGGUUAAUAUUCCUGUACUUGGUGUUACUGCGAAGGGGGGACGGAGAAGGCUAUGUUGGCCGGGCGACGGUUGUCCCGGUUUAAGCGUGUAGGCUGGUUUUCCAGGCAAAUCCGGAAAAUCAAGGCUGAGGCGUGAUGACGAGGCACUACGGUGCUGAAGCAACAAAUGCCCUGCUUCCAGGAAAAGCCUCUAAGCAUCAGGUAACAUCAAAUCGUACCCCAAACCGACACAGGUGGUCAGGUAGAGAAUACCAAGGCGCUUGAGAGAACUCGGGUGAAGGAACUAGGCAAAAUGGUGCCGUAACUUCGGGAGAAGGCACGCUGAUAUGUAGGUGAAGUCCCUCGCGGAUGGAGCUGAAAUCAGUCGAAGAUACCAGCUGGCUGCAACUGUUUAUUAAAAACACAGCACUGUGCAAACACGAAAGUGGACGUAUACGGUGUGACGCCUGCCCGGUGCCGGAAGGUUAAUUGAUGGGGUCAGCGCAAGCGAAGCUCUUGAUCGAAGCCCCGGUAAACGGCGGCCGUAACUAUAACGGUCCUAAGGUAGCGAAAUUCCUUGUCGGGUAAGUUCCGACCUGCACGAAUGGCGUAAUGAUGGCCAGGCUGUCUCCACCCGAGACUCAGUGAAAUUGAACUCGCUGUGAAGAUGCAGUGUACCCGCGGCAAGACGGAAAGACCCCGUGAACCUUUACUAUAGCUUGACACUGAACAUUGAGCCUUGAUGUGUAGGAUAGGUGGGAGGCUUUGAAGUGUGGACGCCAGUCUGCAUGGAGCCGACCUUGAAAUACCACCCUUUAAUGUUUGAUGUUCUAACGUUGACCCGUGAUCCGGGUUGCGGACAGUGUCUGGUGGGUAGUUUGACUGGGGCGGUCUCCUCCUAAAGAGUAACGGAGGAGCACGAAGGUUGGCUAAUCCUGGUCGGACAUCAGGAGGUUAGUGCAAUGGCAUAAGCCAGCUUGACUGCGAGCGUGACGGCGCGAGCAGGUGCGAAAGCAGGUCAUAGUGAUCCGGUGGUUCUGAAUGGAAGGGCCAUCGCUCAACGGAUAAAAGGUACUCCGGGGAUAACAGGCUGAUACCGCCCAAGAGUUCAUAUCGACGGCGGUGUUUGGCACCUCGAUGUCGGCUCAUCACAUCCUGGGGCUGAAGUAGGUCCCAAGGGUAUGGCUGUUCGCCAUUUAAAGUGGUACGCGAGCUGGGUUUAGAACGUCGUGAGACAGUUCGGUCCCUAUCUGCCGUGGGCGCUGGAGAACUGAGGGGGGCUGCUCCUAGUACGAGAGGACCGGAGUGGACGCAUCACUGGUGUUCGGGUUGUCAUGCCAAUGGCACUGCCCGGUAGCUAAAUGCGGAAGAGAUAAGUGCUGAAAGCAUCUAAGCACGAAACUUGCCCCGAGAUGAGUUCUCCCUGACUCCUUGAGAGUCCUGAAGGAACGUUGAAGACGACGACGUUGAUAGGCCGGGUGUGUAAGCGCAGCGAUGCGUUGAGCUAACCGGUACUAAUGAACCGUGAGGCUUAACCUUACAACGCCGAAGGUGUUU
rnacentral:rRNA from 1 species